rnacentral:rRNA from 1 species
UACGGGGGGAGCAAGCGUUGUUCGGAUUUACUGGGCGUAAAGGGCGCGUAGGCGGUCAGCACAAGUCAGUUGUGAAAUCUCCGGGCUUAACUCGGAAAGGUCAACUGAUACUGUGCGACUAGAGUGCAGAAGGGGCAACUGGAAUUCUCGGUGUAGCGGUGAAAUGCGUAGAUAUCGAGAGGAACACCUGCGGCGAAGGCGGCUCACUGACCCGAUACUGACGCUGAGGCACGAAAGCGUGGGGAGCAAACAGG